rnacentral:lncRNA from 1 species
GUUCCACCCCAGGCAGGGGGACACCCUGGAGGCUUCCAGCCACUUGGCAUCUCCUCAGUGGUGGGGCUGAGUAGUGAGGCAGGGGGCUGGGCGGCUUCCCCAGAAACGCGGGAUGGUCAGUGAGCGGCACAGUCCCUUGCAUUUUCUGGGGUGUUCUGUGGUUUGUUCCUCAUUUCCCCUGCCGCUUUGUGAACAAGAUGUAUUUCACUCAAGGAUCCGUGGAUUCAGGGGGUCCUGGGACGCCACGUCCGAGAGGCUGGGGUUGGUUUGUUCCAGGUUCAGGCUUGCUUUGGGGGAGAAAUCCUGACACAAAUUCGGAGGAACAGGAGCCGCAUUCAGUUGGGAAGUGAAGAAGCCAAAUGUUGACUCUCAGGACCUUCUAGAAGAAUGAACUGGGAACCACUCUCUGGGUCCUGCCGGAACCAGAGCCCGAGGUAAAAACGCGAUGUGCCCUCCACAUCAUACAUGAUUUUAGUAAUGUUCAGUGGGGAUUUUUUCCCAACAAUGUUGUAGUUGUUGAAAACAACUGGAAAACUGACAGGUAAGUUGUGUCGGGAACCUCCCGUUAUUUGAAUGUUCAGUAUUAUUCCUGCAACAGAAUUUGUUAUGGUUGUCCUCUGUUGUCUUCGUUGGAAGGAGUCUCAUCAAUAAUAUCUUAAAAACAUACUCGUUACCUUUUCCCCUUUUCAGUUGAGAUUUGGCAUGUUUUCUGAUUUCUCAUGAACUCGUGAACAUCUGAAAUACUUUUAAAUUGAUUGCGGUUUUUACUAAAAGCUGAAUCACCGGAUCCCUCUGUGACUGCUGCCGGUCAAAGGACAUACCAAGGCCACUUCUCAGUGUGGGUAAGAUUGUGCUAAGCAAACACUGUGAAUCAAUUUUAUUUUUUUAUUUAUUAAAAAAUAUUUUUUAACGUUUAUUUUUUUUUUAUUUUUUUUUCAACAUUUAUUUAUUUUUGGGACAGAGAGAGACAGAGCAUGAACGGGGGAGGGGCAGAGAGAGAGGGAGACACAGAAUCGGAAACAGGCUCCAGGCUCUGAGCCAUCAGCCCAGAGCCUGACGCGGGGCUCGAACUCACGGAGCACGAGAUUGUGACCUGGCUGAAGUCGGACGCUUAACCGACUGCGCCACCCAGGCGCCCCUAAUGUUUAUUUAUUUUUGAGACAGGGAGAGACAGAGCAUGAACAGGGGAGGGUCAGAGAGAGGGAGACACAAUAUGAAGCAGGCUUCAGGAUCUGAGCUGUCAGCAUAGAGCCCGAAGUGGGGCUCGAAUUCACGGACCGUGAGAUCAUGACCUGAGCCGAAGUUGGACGCUUAACCGACUGAGCCACCCAGGCGCCCCUGUGAAUCAAUUUUAGAAGAAAAAGCCUGAUGGUAUUUUGUCUAUGAAAAUUGACGCUUAGAUUCCCCUGUCUGAUAUAUUUCGACCUUUUUUUUUUUCUUUUUUGCUCAUUUUCUCAUUCAUAGAUUCAUAGACCUGCCUGAGUUUUACAUUCACCACACAUACUUUCAAGGCUCCUUUCUGUCGCUGUAAGAAAGAAGACAGACCUUCUGAUGCACAUGCAAGUUUCUGUAACUUCAAGAUUUGUUGUGUAGGUCUCUGUUACUUUUCCCAACCAGUUGAAAAUAUCAUCCCACCUUGGGUAGAUCCAUAAAAAAUGUAAUCUGUGUGCACCAGUAUGAUUUCAUUUCAUUAUACUGGAUUUCUUCAUUGUAUGUGUAUGUAUGUAAGAUGUUCUUCAUCUUAUGUAUAUGUAUACAUUAGAUGUUUUAGUCCUGAGAAAAUCCCACAUGUAGUUUAAUUUGAAAGAAAAAUGUAUAUCCUAUACAUUUUGCAUAUUAAAUUCCUAAAUGUAGAUUUUUUGCAAGUGAAAUUAGGGUUGUUUUCUGAGAAAGAUGCAAGGGGAGAAAAACCAUUUCAAGGGGAAAAGAAUGGUGUGUAGUUUUCACAUGUCUGCAGGAGUUACUCAAUUACAUAUGUGUUUACGAGCAGUUUUAUGACAGUGUCCUAUUUUCCAAUUCAUUAAUGAUUUCAUAAGCUACGUAUAUCACUUUUCAUUCCAAGAUUAUAAAAUUAAAACUUCUCUCUUCUGUUGCUAUGAGAGUAUUUCCAUUUUGUAUUAAUUUGUAAAAUUCAAGUGUAAUUAACAUUGGGUUAUGUUUGCUUCAAGGUAUACAGUAUAGUGGUUUAACACUUCUCCUAUGACUCCAUGCUCCUCAAUAUGAGUGUAUUCUUGGGGCGCCUGGGUGGCGCAGUCGGUUAAGCGUCCGACUUCAGCCAGGUCACGAUCUUGCGGUCCGCGAGUUCGAGCCCCGCGUCGGGCUCUGGGCUGAUGGCUCAGAGCCUGGAGCCUGUUUCUGAUUCUGUGUCUCCCUCUCUCUCUGCCCCUCCCCCGUUCAUGCUCUGUCUCUCUCUGUCCCAAAAAUAAAUAAACGUUGAAAAAAAAAAUUUUAAUAAAAUAAAAAAAAAAUAUGAGUGUAUUCUUCAUCUCCUUCCCCUCUUUCACCCACCCCCCACCUUCCUGCCCUCUGGCAAGCACCAGUUUCCUCUCUAAAUUUCAGAGUCGGGUUUUUUUUGGUCUGUCUUCUUUUCUCCAUUUUCUUUGUUUCUUUGUUUUGUUUCCCAAAUUCCAUGUAAAAUGAUGUCAUAUGGUAUUUUUCUUUUAGCGUAGAGCCUCAUGGAGGGCUUGAACUCCCGAACUGUGAGAGCAUGACCUGAGCCCAAAACAAGAGUCGGACGCUUAACUGACUGAGCCACUCAGGCACCUAAG